GUGGUGAAGAUGUGCCACCUGAGGUUCCUACUCCUACACAUGCGGACUCGAGGGAGCUUGAAAAUCCAACACCGCAUGAAUUUCCAGAGUUACAGGAAGACACCCGGUGUGCACUUCUAGCCCCGGGGCAUGCAAAUAGUACCGCGUUGAGUUUGGUGGCGUAUGGUAGUGCCCAACCGACGACGGGUGCUACGGCGGGGCCACAUCAUUACUCGGUUGGGAUCGAUUCAGUGG